GACGAACCGUCCUAACGUUGUUCGGAAUCACUGGGCUUAAAGGGCGCGUAGGCGGGUGAUCAAGUCAGGGGUGAAAUCUUUCGGCUUAACCGGAAAAUGGCCCCUGAUACUGAUUGUCUAGAGGGAGGUAGGGGUUGCUGGAACUUCUGGUGGAGCGGUGAAAUGCGUUGAUAUCAGAAGGAACGCCGGUGGCGAAAGCGAGCAACUGGAUCUCUUCUGACGCUGAGGCGCGAAAGCUAGGGGAGCGAACGGG
rnacentral:rRNA from 1 species